rnacentral:rRNA from 1 species
GCGGGGUAGUGCUUGCACUACUGCCGGCGAGUGGCGAACGGGUGAGUAACAUAUCGGAACGUACCGAGCAGUGGGGGAUAACUAAUCGAAAGAUUAGCUAAUACCGCAUAUAUUCUGAGGAAGAAAGCAGGGGACCUUUGGGCCUUGCGCUGUUUGAGCGGCCGAUAUCUGAUUAGCUGGUUGGUGGGGUAAAGGCCUACCAAGGCGACGAUCAGUAGCGGGUCUGAGAGGAUGAUCCGCCACACUGGGACUGAGACACGGCCCAGACUCCUACGGGAGGCAGCAGUGGGGAAUUUUGGACAAUGGGGGCAACCCUGAUCCAGCCAUGCCGCGUGUCUGAAGAAGGCCUUCGGGUUGUAAAGGACUUUUGUCCGGGAAGAAAAGCGCGAUGUUAAUACCAUUGCGUGCUGACGGUACCGGAAGAAUAAGCACCGGCUAACUACGUGCCAGCA